rnacentral:rRNA from 1 species
ACGUACACUCCUGCGGGAGGCAGCAGUAGGGAAUCUUCGGCAAUGGGGGCAACCCUGACCGAGCAACGCCGCGUGAGUGAAGAAGGUUUUCGGAUCGUAAAGCUCUGUUGUAAGUCAAGAACGAGUGUGAGAGUGGAAAGUUCACACUGUGACGGUAGCUUACCAGAAAGGGACGGCUAACUACGUGCCAGCAGCCGCGGUAAUACGUAGGUCCCGAGCGUUGUCCGGAUUUAUUGGGCGUAAAGCGAGCGCAGGCGGUUUGAUAAGUCUGAAGUUAAAGGCUGUGGCUCAACCAUAGUUCGCUUUGGAAACUGUCAAACUUGAGUGCAGAAGGGGAGAGUGGAAUUCCAUGUGUAGCGGUGAAAUGCGUAGAUAUAUGGAGGAACACCGGUGGCGAAAGCGGCUCUCUGGUCUGUAACUGACGCUGAGGCUCGAAAGCGUGGGGAGCGAACAGGAUUAGAAACCCGUGUAGUCCCAUGA